AUUGAACGCUGGCGGCAUGCCUUACACAUGCAAGUCGAACGGCAGCACGGGAGCAAUCCUGGUGGCGAGUGGCGAACGGGUGAGUAAUAUAUCGGAACGUGCCCAGUCUGGGGAUAACGUAGCGAAAGCUACGCUAAUACCGCAUACGAUCUAUGGAUGAAAGCGGGGGAUCGCAAGACCUCGCGCGAUUGGAGCGGCCGAUAUCAGAUUAGGUAGUUGGUGAGGUAAAGGACUCACCAAGCCGACGAUCUGUAGCUGGUCUGAGAGGACGACCAGCCACACUGGGACUGAGACACGGCCCAGACUCCUACGGGAGGCAGCAGUGGGGAAUUUUGGACAAUGGGC
rnacentral:rRNA from 1 species